rnacentral:rRNA from 1 species
GAUGAACGCUGGCGGCGUGCCUAAUACAUGCAAGUCGAGCGAACAGACGAGGAGCUUGCUCCUCUGACGUUAGCGGCGGACGGGUGAGUAACACGUGGAGAACCUACCUAUAGGACUGGGAUAACUUCGGGAAACCGGAGCUAAUACCGGAUAAUAUAUUGAACCGCAUGGUUCAAUAGUGAAAGAGGGUUUUGCUGUCCCUUAUAGAUGGAUCCGCGCCGCAUUAGCUAGUUGGUAAGGUAACGGCUUACCAAGGCAACGAUGCGUAGCCGACCUGAGAGGGUGAUCGGCCACACUGGAACUGAGACACGGUCCAGACUCCUACGGGAGGCAGCAGUAGGGAAUCUUCCGCAAUGGGCGAAAGCCUGACGGAGCAACGCCGCGUGAGUGAUGAAGGUCUUCGGAUCGUAAAACUCUGUUAUUAGGGAAGAACAAAUGUGUAAGUAACUAUGCACGUCUUGACGGUACCUAAUCAGAAAGCCACGGCUAACUACGUG